GAAUGCUUCUCUGGCAUAACGCAGUGUCAACACCAAUUAGAAUUAUAUUUGCCUACACGAGACAACGAUGUGUAUGAAAUGUGUAGAGACUAUCAAACUUACAUCGAAUGCUUUUUACAGCAAACAAGCUGUCAUUAUACUCUAGAUAUAAUGAACAAGGAAAUAGUUCGAGUUAACAUGGAACUAAAGCGAACCAACUUUCCAUGUUCCGUUUCAACGACCGGUGUCACAUUUAGAGGUGGAUCACAAUUUAUCAUAGUACUGCAGAAUUUGCUGACAAAAAUUGAAUCAAUUAUUAUUUAUAUACUUCGCCUUUGUUACAUUAUAUGAUUGCAUAUUUGU